AUAUUUUCAAAAAACUCCUAAAAAUCUUCCAAAAAAAUCCUAAAAAUAUUUAAAGUGAUUCCAUAUAUAUCAGUAAAAUUUCUAAUAUUUUCUUUUUCCACCAAAAAAUGUUCAAAGAUUUCCCAAAAAUGUUGAAAAUGUGGAUGUCAGAAGUUUCACUGUGAAAAUAUAUAUUUUUCCACAUUUUCAAACUUUAAAACGGGUCAAUUUGACCCAGAGGACGACAUGAGGGUUAAUGAUGAGUUGGACGGUUCUUAACCUGGUUUUAGUUGUUUCAUCUCCUUAGUAGUUUUGUUUGCUUGAUGCAGACCCUUAAUAAUUUGACCCUUCUGAGACAGAUUAACAUCCUUUCAUGACCACAGGAUAUGUCUUCCUACAUGAGAAGCUCCUCCCUGCAUCAGCUAGGGUUAAAGAAGUUGUUUCAUCACUGCAGUGAUUUUCCAAUGGAAGGAUCUGAACUAUUUACUUCGUGAAAUCCAGUUGGAGACUUUUUUUUUUUGGCCAGGCGAUGUAUUUCAGAAAGACUCAGGCACUUUCAAAAGAUAUGUAGCAGAUGAUUGGAUGAACCAUCCAUCAGCAUCCAUCACAGGCUAACCAGUAAACCUUCAUAGGAUACGAACUGGUCUGAAACAUUCAUGUUUAAUGUGGUUCAACCACAGGCAAAAGAUGAAGCCUGGAGAGAUGGAUUCUACUGAGAUCUAGCAAGUUUCGUGAGAAUCCAGUGAGAUAAGAGUAAAAUGAUGAGAUCAAACCAUUUCUGGUUCUUUAACCUGGUCUGGAUGCUUCCGUAACACACAGGCCAGUUAGACCACAUCCACAGAAACACAUCUUCAUUUGAAGCCUUUGAUGGGUCUAAAGACACUUAGAUUCUGAGGAAUAUGGUCAUCAAAGGGUUGGAAAGAUCUCCAUCCAAAGGAGCAUCAUGGAAUAGUUUCAGAGAUGAUCUCCAUCCACAAUACAACACCUCAAAACACAGUUCCUGUGACCAAUCAUUUCCACUGAGCAUACAUGUGGUGGUGCAAACAUGAAGCAAAGGGUUGAUGGUUUAGUUGAAGAGUCCCAAGAUAGAGGUGUGACCAAUCAGAGGACAUGUCAUGACUGAUAGGAACCAAUCACGAAUCUAAUGUAAAUGUCUGCGUAAUCAUUCUCCGUUUCUACCUGUCUAAAUGUCAAAACUGCAAACAGAAGUCCAGAAAAUGAUUCCAGAAGGUUGGUUUUAAGUGUGGAUGAAUCUGUCUUUUUAAAAAAAUACAGAUUUACAUAUAGACAAGGCCUCAUUCAUGGCUAAAGGUUAUAUUUUUCCAGCAGUAUGUCUCUACUUUUAAUCAUAGAAGAGAUUAGGCUGCAGAGUUUGCUGGACUGUGGGAUCAUGCAGAACUGACCUUCACAGUAGAUUUCCUCCCAGUCAUUAAGACUUAACACAUAAUCUGUAACCUCAUCAGUGGAGUAGGGAGCUAAUGACGCGCUACACACAACUCUGGAACAAUGAGUUACUCUGGAUAGCUGCAGUUAGCCUGACACACUGAGGUUUAAGGCUGAAGUUAAAUCCUUUAGUGGUUUCAAGACCACCCAGUAGGUUUUAACAUUCAUUGCUUUUCCUCUAUUCAUCGUUGACAUCCAGCUGUCGGUAGUAAAGGAGGGUUUAGCAGACAGUCAGCGGGGCUGUCAAACAUCUACUGCAUCUUGUAAAAAGUCUUUUUGAAGUCGGAUCUUUAACGGUUGUGUUUUGUCACACUUCACCGCACACAUUUGUAAAAGUCACAAAGUAAAAUGUGAAAGUAAAAGCUGCAGGAGAUGUUUGGCGCUAGAGGCCAUUGGGUCAGGUAUUGCACUGUUAACCCGAAAGUUCUUUCUACUCAACAGUUUCAGUAAAUACCACUAAAAAAAAUGAGUUUUGUUGCAUUACUUAAACAGUUUGAAUAUAUGGAGAGCGUUUGAGACAGCCUGUGGGUGUACUCGUUUUUUUAAGUUUAACAAACUUAAAACGGGGCCACAAUUUGUUGCUGUGUUCUGAUUGGCUCACAAGUCAAAACAAGUCUGGGCUUGUCCAUUGGGGGAUACAGAGAAGUUUGUGCCUUUUUCUCAUUUUCACAGAGCAAUGUAAGGCCUUAGAACCUUUCAUGCUUCUUGGAAAAUACGUUUUCUGCCUGCAUUUUUCAAUUUUUUACAAGUUUGGACCCUUUCAAAGGACAUUUGUCUCCAGUAAAGCGGAUGCCAUUUUCUGUCUGAACGAGGUUUACUUGGAGUUUAACAGGGUUGAAAUCUUCAAGAAAAAUUCUUUCUAAUUUCAUGGAAAUCUUCAAGAGGAAGAUGGUUCAGAGAGGCAAGCAGUUAGCUGACCUGCUACAACAGACAACGAGCACUGAGCCAACAGCCAUUAGAAGCCUUGUCCUGAGAGGACUUCCAGUCAUUCUUAGGGACGAUGCAUCCAUGUUCUUUCAGAGCAAUUUGAAUCUUAAUGAGGGAGACUCUGUGGACAUUCCAGUGGCAUUACUCUGCUAUGAGGACAACAGCGCUGCAAGCCCAGCAUCACCACAACUAUUCCCUUCAUGAGUGGGAAUCAUCCUAGAGGGCAGCCCUGUAAUGGACACACUCACCAACCUACCUCAAGCAAUGUGCCUCUUGUUUGGCUUUACCUCCACACUCCACCUGCACUACACCUUUACCUUCAUUCAGCAGGUCAUCAUAAAUUCAGCCUCCAAAGACUCAAAAGCUGAAGAAUGAGCUUGCAGUGCAAGGUGCAACUCUUCAAGCCCAUGUCUGGAUUAUUGCACAGUUAUAUUCACUGACUGAAACAAAUAUUCAUGCUGUUGUUCAUUUUGUAUGUGAUUCCUCUUGUACAAGAUGCAUCUAGUAUUGUUUAUUUUACUAAAAUUAAUCCACAGAGGACAUAUUUUAGAAAGUUGCAGUUUUUUUAACCCAUUCUUGUCCUCACUGCAUGUUCUUAUUGCUGCUGUUCUUAAUGCCUGUUUUGUUAUGUCGCACACAAAGCAUACAGGCUUUUCCUUGUGUACUUGCAGUACAGUAUGCUGCUACAUGAUCAGUGUUUUUUUCUUCCAAACAGACAAACAAACAGAGCAAACAACUAAAAAACUGUGCUGUCUAUUUGAAAGGAAACUGUUUAAUAACACGUUUUUUGUGUUUUGUUUUUUUGUGCUAACAUAGAAGGGUUCUGUAAUACGUUAAUAGCAAAAAAUUAAGAAUAUACUGUUGAAACUAUUGACAAAAAUUAAUUUUGGUAAUUUUAUUAAACAAGGUCUUGCUGUUGUUUUGUAUUUGCAUCUGGUUUUUCACACAGAGCGUUAAUGUUGAG
ensembl:lncRNA